rnacentral:rRNA from 1 species
ACUGCUCAGUAACACGUGGACAACCUGCCCUUAGGUUGGGUAUAAACCCGGGAAACUGGGUAUAAUACCCGAUAGGUCUCGAUUGCUGGAAUGCAUCGAGAUUUAAAGCUCCGGCGCCUAAGGAUGGGUCUGCGGCCUAUCAGGUAGUAGUGGGUGUAGCGUACCUACUAGCCUACGACGGGUACGGGUUGUGAGAGCAAGAGCCCGGAGAUGGAUUCUGAGACACGAAUCCAGGCCCUACGGGGUGCAGCAGGCGCGAAAACUUUACAAUGCUGGCAACAGCGAUAAGGGAACCUCGAGUGCCAGGUUACAAAUCUGGCUGUCGAGAUGCCUAAAAAGCAUUUCAUAGCAAGGGCCGGGCAAGACCGGUGCCAGCCGCCGCGGUAACACCGGCGGCUCGAGUGGUAACCGUUAUUAUUGGGUCUAAAGGGUCUGUAGCCGGCCGGACAAGUCUCUUGAGAAAUCUGGCAGCUUAACUGUCAGGCUUUCAGGAGAUACUGUCUGGCUCGAGGCCGGGAGAGGUGAGAGGUACUUCAGGGGUAGGGGUGAAAUCUUGUAAUCCUUGAAGGACCACCAGUGGCGAAGGCGUCUCACCAGAACGGACCUGACGGCAAGGGACGAAAGCUAGGGGCACGAACCGGAUUAGAUACCCGGGUAGUCCUAGCCGUAAACGAUACUCGCUAGGUGUCGGCCACGGUGCGACCGUUGUCGGUGCCGUAGGGAAGCCGUGAAGCGAGCCACCUGGGAAGUACGGCCGCAAGGCUGAAACUUAAAGGAAUUGGCGGGGGAGCAC